CCCCUCUCAUGGUUGCACCUGGAGAGUUUCCAGUAAUUUACCAGCCUCGAAUAUGAGAGGGAGAGUCAAGCAGUGGCAUAUUCAUUCCAUUCCUAGCUUGGGCAGUGGCUAGUGAGUGGAAGGCAAUCUGGCACAAGU